rnacentral:rRNA from 1 species
GAUGAACGCUGGCGGCGUGCUUAACACAUGCAAGUCGAACGAAGCACUUUAUUCGAUUUUCUUCGGAGAUGAAGAUUUAGUGACUGAGUGGCGGACGGGUGAGUAACGCGUGGAUAACCUGCCUCACACUGGGGGAUAACAGUUAGAAAUGACUGCUAAUACCGCAUAAGCGCACAGUACCGCAUGGUACGGUGUGAAAAACUCCGGGGGUGUGAGAUGGAUCCGCGUUUGAUUAGCCAGUUGGCGGGGUAACGGCCCACCAAAGCGACGAUCAAUAGCCGACCUGAGAGGGUGACCGGCCACAUUGGGACUGAGACACGGCCCAAACUCCUACGGGAGGCAGCAGUGGGGAAUAUUGCGCAAUGGGGGAAACCCUGACGCAGCGACGCCGCGUGAGCGAUGAAGUAUUUCGGUAUGUAAAGCUCUAUCAGCAGGGAAGAAUAAAUGACGGUACCUGACUAAGAAGCCCCGGCUAACUACGUGCCAGCCGCCGCGGUAA